rnacentral:rRNA from 1 species
UACGUAGGGUGCAAGCGUUAAUCGGAAUUACUGGGCGUAAAGCGUGCGCAGGCGGUUAUGUAAGACAGUUGUGAAAUCCCCGGGCUCAACCUGGGAGUUGCAUCUGUGACUGCAUAGCUAGAGUACGGUAGAGGGGGAUGGAAUUCCGCGUGUAGCGGUGAAAUGCGUAGAUAUGCGGAGGAACACCGAUGGCGAAGGCAAUCCCCUGGACCUGUACUGACGCUCAUGCACGAAAGCGUGGGGAGCAAACAGG